CGGACGGGUGAGUAAUGUCUGGGAAACUGCCUGAUGGAGGGGGAUAACUACUGGAAACGGUAGCUAAUACCGCAUAACGUCGCAAGACCAAAGAGGGGGACCUUCGGGCCUCUUGCCAUCGGAUGUGCCCAGAUGGGAUUAGCUAGUAGGUGGGGUAACGGCUCACCUAGGCGACGAUCCCUAGCUGGCUGAGAGGAUGACCAGCCACACUGGAACUGAGACACGGUCCAG
rnacentral:rRNA from 1 species